rnacentral:rRNA from 1 species
CACGUAGGGCGCAAGCGUUGUCCGGAAUUAUUGGGCGUAAAGAGCGUGUAGGCGGCCAAACAGGUCAGCUGUGAAAACUCGAGGCUCAACCUCGAGACGUCGGUUGAAACCGUUUGGCUAGAGUCCGGAAGAGGAGAGUGGAAUUCCCGGUGUAGCGGUGAAAUGCGCAGAUAUCGGGAAGAACACCCGUGGCGAAGGCGGCUCUCUGGGACGGUACUGACGCUGAGACGCGAAAGCGUGGGGAGCGAACAGG